rnacentral:rRNA from 1 species
UACAGAGGGUGCAAACGUUGUUCGGAAUUACUGGGCGUAAAGCGCGUGUAGGCGGCACGUUAAGUCGACUGUGAAAGCCCAUGGCUCAACCAUGGAAGUGCAGUCGAAACUAGCGAGCUUGAGUCCCGGAGAGGGUGGCAGAAUUCCCAGUGUAGAGGUGAAAUUCGUAGAUAUUGGGAGGAAUACCGGUGGCGAAGGCGGCCACCUGGACGGGUACUGACGCUGAGACGCGAAAGCGCGGGGAUCAAACAGG